GAUUCUAACUCACUGAGUUAUCACUAUGGGAAAUUGCAGUUCCUCCGAUUCAACUCAGGUUGCUACGUCAAAACUCGUUCACGUAGAUGGAACGUUACAAGAAUUUUCUUACCCGGUUAAGGUAUCGUACCUGUUGCAAGAACACUCGACGUGUUUUAUAUGCAACUCAGACGAAAUGGACUUCGACGACGUCGUUAAAGCGGUUCAUGAAGAUGACGUGUUGCAACCUGGUCAGCUUUAUUUCGCUCUUCCGUUGAGCCGGUUGGACCAGCCAUUGCAGGCGGCUGAGAUGGCUGCAUUGGCCGUCAAGGCCAGCUCCGCGCUCAUGAAAAGAGGCGGCGCCGAUAAUAAAUGUUAUUGUCGCCGUAAACGUCUUGUGUUUUCGGAAGAAGAUUGUUCUAGUCCUUGUCGGAAUAUUCCUCCGACAAUCCGUACCGGUAACGAUACGAUUCAUAGAUCAAGGAGGGGAAGGACUACGAAUGGCGGUAGGGAGAAGUUUACGGCGUUUUUGAGUGCCAUACCGGAGUAGGGUUCAAAAAUGUGCUCCGGUGAUUUUGUUUCUCUUGUAUAUAUAUAAAUUCAAAAAUAUAUUUAUCAUAUAACAUCCCACACAUUGUAGAGCCAUUCCAUGGAACAAUGGAAAUGAUUAGAUUCAUAAAGAGUUAGAUCCAGUCUUUUUGUUUUGUAAAAAAAAAGAAGAUCCAGUCUUAUUGGAAAUAUAUUAUUAUGUUCUUUUUUUUAAUUUCAUUAGUCCAAUUUUUUGUACAUAUUCAAUUAAAGUAGAUAAGGUAUUUUUCAGUGUAAUACUGUUUUCUAUUGUUGAAAAGAAAUGAAAGCAAUACAGUAUAGUUACAUAAGCAUCGACGAACAUAAACAGAUCAUAUAAACAUGUAGUAGCAGUAGUUGAUACCUAUUGAUGGUAACUUGGGAGCAGACUAGAGCAAUUGUGACCUUUAAAUUGUAAUCACUAGCUAGCAUUCUACAAUUAGAUCCUUAAUUUUGUGCUUGCAUAAACUAUUUGAUGAAAGAAACAACUAGUCAUAUAGAAUUAUUGCGUUGAAUAUAUUUUACAAGAGAUCUGCAUCGUGAUGUGCCAAACUGAUUAGGCAUUAUGCAAAUGAUGGAUUGAAAAUGGUUAUUUUGGAUCUAUUUUGAUUUCUGAAUGACAAAUUCACGUUCAAAUCUCACCAAUGAUGUAGAUUCUUUGCAUAACGACUAGAUUUUCAAAUGUGUAAUUAACAAAUGAGUAAAUUACCCGUUUUAGCGAAAUUAUACAAAUCAUCCCUUACUUUUUACACUUCGCCAACCCCUAAUAUCUAUACUUUUAUUAAGUUAAAUAAAACAUUGUAUAUAAUAGAGAUAAGUUCAAAUAAUAUACAAAUUAAUAUAUCUUUAAUAUUUUUUAUUACAUAAUAUAUAAAAAAAAUUAAAGAGAUAUUGUUUAAAUCGUUAUUGUAAUAUAUUAUAAUGAACCAGAAAUAAUAAAGAUACAUUGAUUUGUAUAUUAUUUGGACUUGUCUCCACAAUACAUCAUGUUUGUUUAACUUAAUUGCAUUUAUCACAUUUUUUGUUUAAAAGAUUACACUUAUUUUUCACGUAGAGUGAUGAAUGUAAUAAAAUUAUAAAAAUCAGUGGGUUUGUGUAAGUAUAAAAAAAUAAAAGAUGAUUUGUAUAUAAAAUUCAGGAUGUAUUAAUGUAAUUUACUCUUAACAAAACAAAUUGACGGAUGAUACAAAGGAUGGAAGAAUCAGAGAUUUAUUUUCUAAAGAAUUAUAAUAAGAAUAGUAAUCGAAACUCCAAACCGAGUUUUGUUGAACAAAAGUGAAAUUCUUUUACUUCUUUAGGGAAUGCUUCUUUGGUUGUUAUCAACGAUUGUUCUCAAUUAUAUAUCAGAUUAAUACAAUUAAAACAAAAACAAAAUAGAUGAUAAAUAUUUAAUUUUUUAAUUAAUAUGUUUGUUAGCAUGUGAUGUUAUUAAUAUAAUAAAUGUUGAAUGUAUCCUUACAAUAACAUGACGUAUAAGGGUUAAAUCAUUAUUUAACAUUUUGAUAAAGUUAAAUAUAUAAUAUUAAUAUUAAAAAACUGAUAAACAAGAUAACAAAUAGUCCUCAUCAAAAUAAAUGUUAUUUUGCUAAACCACAUUUUGAAGGUACAAGUUGAGGUGAAACAAAUAUUAUUAUAUUUAAAAUUUUAAUAUAAAAAUGCAUAUAUAUAUAUAUAUAUAUAAUAUAAUGUAAUUGUUAAUGUUAGAUGAAUAUAUUAAAAUCAUUUAUGUUACGUUAAUCUAUUUGAAGGUAUCUGUGUUAGACAAUUUAAUAAUGAUUUGUAGCAUAAUAGAUUUUUAAAUAUGUUAAAAAGGUUUAAAUAGACUUUUAAACAAGUAUUUAGUUUUAUUUUAAAUUAGGUUAGGCUCACACUGUUAUUUGUUAUAAAUGCUCAAUCUAUUUAAGACUAUUUAAGGUAGAGUUUGACUUGUUUCUAUCUUUAAGCAUAAGUAAAGGUGAUAAUGCUAUGUUCCCGCAUCAAUAGGACAAUACUGUAAAUAUCAAUUUAUUUGUUUAAUUGUAUAUGAAAAUAAAAAACUGAAUGGCACAAUACUAAUAAGUUGAUCAAUUUUCACUUACUUUCACUGAUAUGAUAUAUAUAAUUGUUGUAUCAUAUAAGUAUAAGGUUAGGUUCAAUCAAAUCAAACAAUACGAAACAAUAUAUUUAAAUAUGGAAAUACAUACCAAUUCUAAUAGCAAAACUGUCAUAGCUCAAGUGCUUAUAUAAUUGAAGGGAAAAUUAGUUUGAUGAAUUAUUAAAAUAGGUUCAAACCUAAAAGAUAUAUUGAGAUCUGAGGAAAAAACUCCAUUUAUUAAAGAGGGACAAAUAUAUGUUUACAUAUAGUAUGUAGGUUGAUGAAGAUAGCGUGAUCCUUAUCCUAGAGGGUCUGUUACUGGUAAAAGGACAAAGAAAAUUGCAUCUAAAAUGUUCUCUUUCAAUUUUCGAAUUCUCUAUCCACUUCAUGCAUGGCUGAUAGUUGACUAAUUCGACAUUAUUACAUUUGGUCCUAUAUAAUGAAAGGGUCAAUCGCAAAUAAUUCAAAUUUGGUGUUUACUACUACAUGGAUGUUAUGGAGUCGAGUUUUGACAAAAUAGGAAGAUAGAUAGCUAGCCAUGUAUGGAAGAGGAUGAAAUAAAAAUAAAUUUGGGCAAAGCCCAUGAAAUGGCACCACUAUAUAUAUAUAUAUAUAUAGAGAGAAUGUGGAUAAAAAUCAUAUAUUCUAAAUGGUGUCUAACUUUGUAUCUCAAGUCAAUCAAAGUGUUUCAUUUUGUUACUUUUUGUUUUUUAAUUUUUUUUCUUUUAUUAUAUGAUUGGUUUACUACAGAAAAUGGUACGUGGGUAUCUAAAAAAUUAUCCAAAGUUGAGAUUGGAAAAGGACUAAUAAGUAAGGGGCACAAUUUGGCACAUAAAGCAUAGGCAUUGCCGCACCCAAUAAAACAAGAAUGGGCAUGUCAUUGGCACGGUUUAGGGGCAGUGAGUGAUGGAAUUGUUUACAGCUGUUUUAAUAAGCAUUUGGUCAGAAGUCGUAAGAUGGAUGGUCGUAAGGAAUGGAGUGUAGGAAGUGAUGGGUUUAAGUCUCACCAUCAACAAAAAAAAAUGGGAGUUAUAAGGUGAAUAGAUGGUAGAGAGUAGGAGGUUGAGGGUUCGAGUCUCACCAUAAAAAAAAAUAGUCUUUAAGGUUGUAAUAAUAAUAAUAAAUAAUAAGCAUCUGAUUAAUAUAUAGUUGAAUCUUACAUUAUAUAUUAGUGUAAAAUAGAGUAUUAAUGAGAGGUUUAAAUUCGAAUGGUUUAAGAGUUGAGACUUUUAAUUGAAAGUAAUGAAUCUUGUCAUAUUUUUUAUAAUAGGAAAAUGAUAUUUUUUCUACUAAAUCCUCACAUUCAUAAGAAAAUGACAUAUGAAACAAAGUGAAUGUAAUACUUAAUUUAUUAACCAAUGAUUGGUUUCAAGUGACCCAUAUCACUUUCUUAUGAGUAUUAAGAUUUAGUAAAAAUAUAUGUAAUAUCAAAUAUUUGUACAUUUGUCAAAUAAGAUAAUUAUACACUCAGAAAAUUUCUUACUUAUAGUAAGGAGAUAUGGUUCGAUAUAGAAAAAAAAUCAAAUAUCUUAUUUAAACAAAUUAUAUAUUAUAUUAAUGAUGUACGAAUCUAAAUAAUUGGACUAAUGUCUUUAAAAUCUUAUUGAUCAAAAUAAUGAUGUCGUAAAAGUCAAAGAGUCUUCAUGUUAAUUUCUAUUCUUAGAAAUGAUGACAAUCAUUUCUUCAACACCGCAAAAAUGUUCGAGAUAAAAAAGAUUUAGGCAUGUUUAUAACUUUUUAUUUGUAUUUUUAUUUAAGAUUUACAAAAUAUUCUAUUUUUAUUAGUUUUAGUGGGAUUAGUCUCACAUUAUUUUAUAAAAAGAAAUAGGUAUUAAAAGUGAUCAAAGUUUAAAUUAAAACUAAGAGCAAUGGAAAAUAAUACUUAUAAUAGAAAAUAUUAUAUCAUCAUAUUAAAACGGUCUAAAAAUUUCAUAACCAUGAAAAAGACAUUUGUCACCUGAAUGACAUAACAUAUGUCAAAAUGAAAUAACACGUGUCAUUAUUCAAUGUUCAUAAGGAUCUUUAAAUUUAUUUGUUAUUAGACUCUUUAUAAUAACUAAAAAAAAUUAAUCUAAUAAUAACUGUGCUAGAAUAGAGUUAUGGUAUUAAUAUGGUAGAAAAUGGGGAGUACAAGCAACUCUAUCUAUCUGGUUUAGAGGUAAUCACAAUUUAUGAAAGAGAUUAAUUAAUUAUUUAUAAGAUAAGAUAAUAUCUUUGUAGUAUAAAAAAUCAUCUUUUAUUCAUGCAAGAAAAAUUAACCUCAUAUAACCCUUUUAUUUACCAACAAAAAAAGUUAUUUUCAAAAUUUAAUUUGUUAACCAUAAUAAUUCUAGGAAUUUCCCUUUAUCUAAGAUGAGGCACUGUAACUUUUUUGGUCAAUAUUUUAAUGGUUUUAUUAUCUUUUAUAAUUUACAUAUUAAAUUAUUUAUUUAAUAGUAUUUAAAUAUUUUAACCAAAUUACUUGAAAAUGGAAACUUCAAUUCCAAUUCAUAUUUCAGAAAAUUAAAAGAUAAAAAGGUCAAGCUGAAUUUAAUUAAAAAUGUAAAUUUGAAAAAUUCACUUUUAAUAAUUUAGCUUAUUUAUUUUGUAAUUUUAUUUAAAAUUCAGUGUACAUCUGCAAUUGCAAGAGAAAAACUAUUUUCUAGAAAAGAAACCAAGUAUUAUGAAUAUAUUAUCAUCAAUAAGUAAAUCUAUUUGGGACAAUUAUAGUAUGACAAAUGUAAUUUAUAUUUUGAAUUUAUAUCAAAAUUUGGAUUAGAUUUAUGCACACUAUUAUUUUAAUGUGCAAGCUUACAUGUUACAGGAGCCUCUCCUGUCAAUUACAUAUUUAAAAUCCAUAUAAUUUGGAGAAAAUAUAUAUUGUUUGCUACUAAAAUUGUAUGACAUUAUUUUUUAUUGGUUGAUUUAAAUAAUUGAUAAGUGAAUUGGAAAAUUAUAAUUUUCAAAAACAUAUCUUUCCGAUAAAUUGACCUAGAAGUAGCAUAAAUUUGCUACCAUGAGAACAUAAAUUAAUACUGAAAUUGACGUUAUUAAGGGAUUCCAAUCCCUUGGUAUGAAAAUGGGACAUAUUCUAUUAGAAGCCAGUCUAAGAUGAGCUAUAUAUAUAUAUAUAUAUAUACCGUAAGACACUGUCCCACACGGUGAAUAUUUAUAAUAAUGGUCCAAAAUUUCAAUCCUAGUGGCAGGUUGCGUAAUUUAAUUUUUGAUCUCGAAAAUAGAGUCAGGUUCUCUCUCACUAAUGCGAGGGAUUAUUACAACCUGUCAACAACAACUUACAGGCUGGAAAGCCAUUCCCACUGUUUCAAAUAAAACUGAAUUUUAGUAAUUUAAAAUUAAACGAUUAACUAUAAUAUCCUACGUGGCAUAUCAGUAUCUUCCUAUAUAUAUUCUCUCCCUCGUGCUCCUUUUUUCUCCAGCUCAUACCAAAUUUCCCUUUUUAACACCGAGUCACAACUGAUUCUAACUCACUGAGUUAUCACUAUGGGAAAUUGCAGUUCCUCCGAUUCAACUCAGGUUGCUACGUCAAAACUCGUUCACGUAGAUGGAACGUUACAAGAAUUUUCUUACCCGGUUAAGGUAUCGUACCUGUUGCAAGAACACUCGACGUGUUUUAUAUGCAACUCAGACGAAAUGGACUUCGACGACGUCGUUAAA
rnacentral:lncRNA from 1 species